rnacentral:tRNA from 1 species
AUUUAAAUAGUUUAUUUAGAAUAGUAAUUUGUGGUAUUACAGGAGUAUGUUUGUAUUUUAGAUC